rnacentral:rRNA from 1 species
ACGAACGCUGGCGGCACGCCUAACACAUGCAAGUCGAACGGCAGCGGGUCCUUCGGGAUGCCGGCGAGUGGCGAACGGGUGAGUAAUACGUGGAAACCUAUCCCUGGGUGGGGGACAACAGCUGGAAACGGCUGCUAAUACCGCAUAAGCCCUACGGGGGAAAGAUUGAUUGCCGAGGGAGGGGUCCACGUCGGAUUAGCUAGUUGGUGGGGUAAAAGCCUACCAAGGCGACGAUCCGUAGCUGGUCUGAGAGGAUGGACAGCCACACUGGGACUGAGACACGGCCCAGACUCCUACGGGAGGCAGCAGUGGGGAAUAUUGCGCAAUGGAGGAAACUCUGACGCAGCGAUGCCGCGUGGGUGAAGAAGGCCUUCGGGUUGUAAAGCCCUUUCAGUGGGGAAGAUAGUGACGGUACCCACAGAAGAAGCUCCGGCUAACUCCGU